GAGCACUGUUCGUGGCCUGUUCGUCUGGCGGUGGCUGAUGGGCUCCAUUCCAGCGCCACAGCAGUUCCAGUGACACGUGACUGCCUGGCUCACUGGGGGCUCCGUUUCAGGUCUUGGAGACAGCA